rnacentral:piRNA from 1 species
CNGCUCAAUGCUCAUGUGCUUCUUCUGGGCU